GACAUUCUUCUAAGAAGCUACCAACAAAGGAGGUGCUCAUAUGAACGAAAGGGGACAGGAUAGAAGAGAAGAGGGAGACUGAAUGUGGGAAAUGGAGAGAAAGCGAAAAAGAAAGGAAUAACCAGAAAGGACCAUUUGCUGUCAGUGACAUCCCCUGAGGGCAGUCCCUUGCUGCGUAUUGGGUCAACCCCCGGCGGCCUGUGGACUCGGCUGGGAGGCCAGAAGCCGAGGGAGAAGACCAGUAGCUGGCCAUAGUCUUGUGGGGGCCUCACUGGGCCCUCCUUGCCCGCUGCUCCCGGAACCUUGUGCCUAUGGAUUAAUCAUUGCUGCAAAAUCUCACGUCCAGGAAGAAUUAAACCCAUCGCCUUGGGGGCAAGACUAGCCUGGCUUUUGCAUCUUUAUAGCCUUUCUCCGCAGGUGCAGCCACCACCUCCAAAGUGACUGCCGGUCGGUCCAAGCGCUCUAACAGGCUCUUCCCCGAGCCUACCUGGGCUCGAGGGGUCCCACACCUGGUCCGGGGCGUAGCCCAUGUGAGGCCUGCAAGCUCCGGGCGCCUGGCCUACCUAACUCAGCCCCGCAGUCUCUGCAGAACCCCCUGCAGCCCCGUGGCCCAGUUUCUCCAUUUGCUCACAAUGGCCAACGGCGUGAGGCACUUGAGCGGAAUGCGGACGGUGCCUCCGACAGCUUUCCCGCAGUGCAUGAUCUCAGGAGGGGCCCCAGAGACGGAAGUUUACGACGCCCAGAGCGCUCCUUCUGGACGUGCCCUGGACUCGACUUGGGACUGAGUCUGUGCCGCCUAGGCUGGCAGGGACUCGGCCAGAUGCACUAGCGGCAAGGCUGGGCUGACACCGCCUGGGACUCGCUCGCCGUACCUCCAAGGGGCCCAGGUCAUGAGGGGGCGGCUGGGGAGACGCCCGCCCGGUGCCCGCCCUGGGCCCGGCGGGUGCCCCCUGCCCGCCG
rnacentral:lncRNA from 1 species